UGUAUAUCCAUUUCACCUAAAACCUCUUCUUAAUCCCCCAUAAAAGCCCCAAAUCCUUCCCCUCAUGAGAUUAGAGCUAAGAUUGGAGAGCUUGGAGGUCAAAGAUAGGAUUGCUUCCACACAUGCCGAUAGAUUGUUUUGAAGAACCAUGAGUUAUAUUUAGAGGGAAAGAUGGGAAACCUGGAUGCUUGCAAAAUACAUGUGCUCAUAGAGCCUGCACACUCCAUCUCGGGUCAGUGAAUGAAGGAAGAAUCCAAUGCCCUUAUCAUGAUGAGAGAAGUUCCUGAUAAGUCAUGGAAUGAUAUUCCUAUAUUGAAAAGAAGAGCGAAAGGUGAUACUCGAUAUCAAGACGGAUGAGAAGCAUUCCUUGAAUAUGCAUAUGCUAAUCCGAGGAAGAUAGAGAACGAGGACUCUUGUUCAGCUUGCUCUUGAUGAAAACUCGGAUGAUACUGAUGACCCAAAUGAGGCUGAAGGAGAAAUUUUUCUUAAUUACUCAUACCCUCAGAAUGUCAAUUUUAAUAUGUAUACUUCACAAAUUCGACUUGAUAUUUGUAAUGUAGGAGAUUGAAUACAAAGAUCCUUAUGCAAAUUCGACUUGAUAUCUGUAA